GGGGGUGAAAUGGAUUCGACGGGGAUCAGAAGCCUGUGGCGCAUGUCGAGGUCCGGCGGCCUCGCUAAACAGCCGGAAAACACAACUGCCGAGCCUGAGCUCGCACUCGCAGCGUAAGCUGCGCGUCCCCACCCGCUGGUGCCUACGGCACGGGUGACGGGCGUCAUCGACCGUAGGAUGCCGUCCGCGGAUGCCCCGACGCGGACCUAAGCCAAGGGGCUCCAGACCACGCCGUUGCCCUGUCUGUGGGACGGGCGUGGUCGACACCCACCACAGACUACGCAUGUAGGGCCACAGUAGCGGAAGGUUUCCGGACGCGGGUUCGAGUCCCGCCACCUCCACCA
rnacentral:tmRNA from 7 species